UGUGUGUGUGUGUGUGUGUGUGUGUGUGUGUGUGUAAGGAGCUGCAUGAGGUCAUGAUAUAUUUUUAGAUGUGUGUGUAAUGGCUCCGGUGGUGAGGAGGUGGCAGUCUAGAGUAGCCAAGUGUAUACACACACACACACACACACACACACACACACACACACACACACACACACACACUGCUUGCUCUUUCAUCCAAGCAUCCCACAGAGUCUUAUCUCCUUCUUCCUUCUGCUUCUUUUUCCACUCCCUCAGUAGAAGUCCAUGUGUUCGUGUCAUUAUUGUUGUGAUCACGAUUUUCAUGACCUUCUGAUCAGGGCUUUGGUCUUGCUCGGGUCCUGGUGCAGCUGAUUUCUUCGGUGAAGCUCCUGGAAAUGAAGUAUGAUUUCCAGGUGGCCGAGUUGAGCCUCAGCCUCUGCAAUCCGUCUCGCUCUGUCUUGCUCCUCCUCAUCCGAGGUUCUCCCAGUAACCGGAGGGAGUCCUUUGCUCUGCAGCAUCUCCAACAG